rnacentral:lncRNA from 1 species
GGAUUACGGAUCGGAUUUUUGCUUGAUCCGAUCCGAUCCGAAAAUCCGAAGUUUGAAGAAAAUAAAAUCCAAUCCGAACCAUAUAAUCCGUUGAUCCGAAUCCGAAAAUCCGAAGUUUUCGGAUAAAAUCCGAUCCAAACCGAAAAAAUCCGAAAUAUAAGCAAAAUCCGAAAAUCCAAUUGAGGCUGAUGCACCUACCCAAUCCUCAAAUUCGAACACAAUUCAUAAGGCUGCACCAAUUCAUUCGAACAAAAUUGAAACAACUGCACCAAUUCAUAAGGCUGAAAAAUUCGAACACAAUUAUAACUCAUAAAUCAUAAUUAAGCAUCAAUUUUCAACAUUCUUGAGGUUCACUAAAAACUAAAAUCGAACCUACUGCAGCCUGAAGGAAUGACGCGCCGAUGAGGUGCUCUGGGGAGGGCGUCUGAAACUCUGAGGUCAGAGGUGGAGGGCGUCGGCCGUCGGGAAGAGAGGCGCAGAUCUGCGGCGCUCUGCGCUCGAGCUUCGAGCUGCUCUGGGGGAUUGCAAGCGCGGAGGUGGCGUGGUGGGCGAUUGCAGGCGCAGAGUAGGUGGGGUGGCGGCCGGCGGCCGGCGGGAUGGGACGGCGCGGACCGCGCGGUGGAGACUGGAGAGGGAUGGGAGUCAGACAAGGCGCGGUGGUGGAGCUGUGGCUGUGCGGCGCUGAUUUAGUUUAGGGAAUUAGGUUUUAGGUUUUACUUUUUAACAUAUUCAAUAAUUCAAAAUUAU